AUAAUGCAGCGAUCCGCAUGGAUAUGUUGUUAAAGGUUUACCGCCUUGGGAUAGGCUUGCGUCUGAUUAGCUAGUUGGUGUGGUAAUGGCACACCAAGGCUACGAUCAGUAACUGGUCUGAGAGGAUGAUCAGUCACACUGGAACUGAGACACGGGUCCAGACUCCUACGGGAGGCAGCAGUGAGGAAUAUUGGGCAAUGCACGAAAGUGUGACCCAGCAACGCCGCGUGGAGGAUGAAGGUAUUCUAUAUCGUAAACUCCUGUGAGAGCAGACGAAAGACAGAUUAUUAAUUUGGAUGACUGUAUGCUCAGAGGAAGCCCCGGCUAACUACGUG
rnacentral:rRNA from 1 species